rnacentral:rRNA from 1 species
CCUACGGGGUGCAGCAGUCGAGGAUCUUCGGCAAUGGGCGCAAGCCUGACCGAGCGACGCCGCGUGCGGGAUGAAGGCCUUCGGGUUGUAAACCGCUGUCAGGGGGGAUGAAAUCAUGGUGGGUACUCCCAUCAUGUUGACAGAGCCCCAGAGGAAGCGCGGGCUAAGUUCGUGCCAGCAGCCGCGGUAAUACGAACUGCGCGAACGUUAUUCGGAAUCACUGGCCUUGCAGGGUUCGAAGGUGGGGUGUGAAAUGCCUUGGCUCAACCAAGGCACAGCGCUCUAAACUACUUUGCUGGAGUGAGUCAGGGGUGCACGGAACUUCCGGUGGAGCGGUGAAAUGUGUUGAUAUCGGAAGGAACACCGGCGGCGAAAGCGGUGCACUGGGGCUUAACUGACACUGAGGCACGAAAGCCAGGGGAGCGAACGGGAUUAGAUACCCCUGUAGUC